rnacentral:misc_RNA from 1 species
GAACGCAUAUUGCGCUCUUUGGUAUUCCGAAGAGCAUGCUUGUUUGAGUAUCAGUAAACACCUCAACCUCCUCUUGUUUUUUCAAAAGGAGGGUGGACUUGAGCUAUCCCAACAACCUUCACCGGUAGGCGGGCGGCUUGAAAUGCAGGUGCAGCUGGACUUUUAUCUGAGCUAAAAGCAUAUCUAUUUAGUCCCGUCAAACGGAUUAUUACUUUUGCUGCAGCUAAUAUAAAGGGAGUUUGACCGUUUUGGCUGACUGAUGCAGGAUUUCACAAGGGUCGGCAACGAUUCUUGUAAAACUCGAUCUCAAAUCAAGUAAGACUACCCGCUGAACUUAAG